UACGAAUCGUCCAAACGUUGUUCGGAUUUACUGGGUUUAAAGGGCGCGUAGGCGGUGCGUUAAGUCGGCGGUGAAAUACUUCGGCUCAACCGGAGAAUUGCCGCUGAAACUGGCGUGCUCGAGGGAGGUAGAGGUGCGUGGAACUUCCGGUGGAGCGGUGAAAUGCGUUGAUAUUCACAGGAACUCCGGUGGCGAAGGCGGCUCGCUGGAUCUUUUCUGACGCUGAGGCGCGAAAGCUAGGGGAGCAAACGGGG
rnacentral:rRNA from 1 species